ACAAACCCUACAGUUCCGAAGGAAACAUUAUUUUUGAGUGCCUGCAACUUUUCAAGGGGCUAGACUUUCUACCAAUUUUAUUUUUAUACUCGGAUAAGGAGGAACAAAAUGGAGCAUUUUAUAAUUGACAACAACAGCGUACCAUUGCGCGAUGUAGGUGAAAAAGAAAACAGGAGCCAAGGCGGUCAGUUGGAUUGUGUACCAAAGAAAAGUUCCCAUAUCAGUAGAUCGAGAACCAAUAUGACCGGAUCGGAUGAAUCAGCAUCACCAUCAAAAAAAGCACACCGACCCAAAUCACGGAUUCCCUACAAUCGUUUGCAUUCAUGUCCAAGGAAAUAUAUAUCCGGAAACCAAUAUGCUUUCAAUGAGGACUCCAUAGCUCCACUUUCGAAUGAGAAAUCUAUAGCCAAAAGCGUCGUAGCUCCACUUCCAAAAAGUAAAUCUAUAUCCGAAAGAGUCAAAGCUCCAUCUCCGAAUAAGAAAUCUAUAGCCGAAAGCGUCAUGGCUCUGACUCUCAAUGGGAAAUCCACAUCCGAAAGCGUUUUAUAUCCACUUCCGAAUGGGAAACCUAUAUCCGAAAGCACGGAGAAUAGUCAUAGUCAUAGCAAGCCUGUAAAUGAUAGAUAUCGCUCUAUAUCCGCAGAAAGCCUAGAUUUCAAGGGCUUCGAGUUGAAAAAUGCAAGUAAGUGUAACGUUACUCGGAUGUCCAAGUCCACUUCUGAGACUGCGGGUAUGUUCAUAGAUCCACUUCCGAAUGGGGAAUCCAUAUCCGAAAAUGUCCUAGCUCCACUUCCGAGUGGGAAAUCUAUUUCCGAAGAAGUCAUAGCUCCGUCUCCGAAUGGGAAAUCUAUGGCCGAAAGCACGGAAGAAAAAUCUAGAUAUCGCUUCUUAUCCGCAGUUAGUUUAUAUAUCAGGGGCUUUGAAUUAAGGAAGGCAAGUAAGCUUAUCGUUAAGAAAAGCGGUGUGAUGAUAUUCAUUACUCGUAUAUCAAAGUCAAGUUUAGUGACUCUGGGUAUGUUCAGUACGCUCUUUCUGAUUUGGGCCUGUGAUUUCGAAGAACCAAUUGCCAGGAUUAAAAAGGCAAUGAGCGAUGUACUCAACGAACGUUCCCGUGCCAAAUGCUAAUCUAUAUGAGUACAUUGUUGAACAAAAAUUCCAAAAUUUACAGUAUCUAUUUGUGGCAAAAAAAUAAAAUAAAAAAUAUUCUUUUGCGAUCAAAAUUAUAAUGUUGAAUCACAUCUCAUUUGGCAAUCUGUGGCAUUGUUCAAUCCAUUUUCGAAGCCAUAACAAAUGACACUUUUAAUCAUUGCAUAUUAACGGACUAAGCCCUGACCGAUACCCGCACGUCGUGCCCACUGAUUUAUGGCCCAGACAGCGACAUCCAACCAAAAAUAACCCAUUAACUAAAUCCGCAUUUAAUAAAUGCCAGCCAGCGGCAGCGAGAAGGUAACAAAAGGGUUAAGACUGCCAAGGGAUUGGGAUAGGGAUCCGCCAAGUUGGCAGUUACAAGUUCCAACUUACAAGACCGGCAAAUUAAUCACGCUGACGACUGCGACGUGGUUGAUGAUAUUGGUCGACUGAUGCUGACAUUGAGGAGCUGCCAGCCGCACCAGCCAUCAGUUAGCCAAGUAUCCCCAUCCCCAAGCCCAAUCCCCAAUCCCCAUCCCAAUGGAUACUGUGCCGAGCAACCAAGUAUCCCACUGUGCCGGGGGCAUCAAUCUGCGGUCGAGUCUCAACUUUCGGGCAAUGUGACACGUGUGGAAUGCAGCCAGAAAUCGGAAUCAGAAGCGUUGACAUGACAACUCGAGAUGAGGGGAUCGCGAUAAGGACAACCACUUUCUAUGGCACGAGCAUGGAAAACCUUUUUAGAUCCAAGCAUUGCUUAACAAUUUUUCCAGCUUGAACUUUACACUACCAGAUGUGAGCAUUGAGAAAAACCUGAUAAUAUAAACCAAUAAUAAAAUAUAAAUUUGUAUAUGC
ensembl:ncRNA lncRNA:CR42850 long non-coding RNA:CR42850